UGGUGGAGUGAUUUGUCUGGUUAAUUCCGAUAACGAACGAGACCUCCGCCUGCUAAAUAGUCACGCUACUGCAGUUGCAGUGGUGGGAGUACUUCUUAGAGGGACACUGGGUGUUUAGCCCAGGGAAGUUGGAGGCAAUAGCA
rnacentral:rRNA from 1 species